UACGUAGGUGGCAAGCGUUGUCCGGAUUUACUGGGCGUAAAGAGCGCGCAGGCGGUCGUUCAAGUCGCGUGUGAAAGCCCCCGGCUCAACUGGGGAGGGUCACGCGAUACUGAUCGACUCGAAGGCAGGAGAGGGUAGUGGAAUUCCUGGUGUAGCGGUGGAAUGCGCAGAUAUCAGGAGGAACACCGGUGGCGAAGGCGGGUCUCUGGGCAGUAACUGACGCUGAGGAGCGAAAGCGUGGGGAGCGAACAGG
rnacentral:rRNA from 1 species